rnacentral:rRNA from 1 species
AUUGAACGCUGGCGGCAUGCCUUACACAUGCAAGUCGAACGGCAGCACGGGAGCAAUCCUGGUGGCGAGUGGCGAACGGGUGAGUAAUAUAUCGGAACGUGCCCAGUCGUGGGGGAUAACGCAGCGAAAGCUGUGCUAAUACCGCAUACGAUCUACGGAUGAAAGCGGGGGAUCGCAAGACCUCGCGCGAUUGGAGCGGCCGAUAUCAGAUUAGCGAGUUGGUGGGGUAAAGGCCCACCAAGGCGACGAUCUGGAGCUGGUCUGAGAGGACGACCAGCCAGGGUGGAACUGGGACACGGUUCAGGCUCCUACGGGAGGCAGCAGGGGGGAAUUUUGGACAAUGGGCGCAAGCCUGAUCCAGCAAUGCCGCGUGCAGGAUGAAGGCCUUCGGGUUGUAAACUGCUUUUGUACGGAACGAAACGGCCCUUUCUAAUACAGGGGGCUAAUGACGGUACCGUAAGAAUAAGCACCGGCUAACUACGUGCCAGCAGCCGCAGUAA